AAUACUGAAGAUAUUACUGAUUCACAACCUCCGAAAAUUCUGAUAGAAGAAGAAGAAAUUGAAAAAGCUGAAGCAUUCAUCAAGAAAUGGAAAGGAAAAGACAACACAUGACUGAUGGAUAAGAUAUAACUGUAAUAAUUUUCUCUUUGUAAUAGUAAAAUCACUGUGCACAGGGACCCAUCUAUUACUGUGCAAGAUUCUCUUUUUUAUUAUUUAUAGGCGCCUCAUUCUUGAGAAGAGGCAGGAGUUCAGAAAUUCUCUCCUUUUAUUUUUCAAAAACUCUCUCUCUCCCU
rnacentral:lncRNA from 1 species